rnacentral:rRNA from 1 species
CCUACGGGAGGCAGCAGUGAGGAAUAUUGGUCAAUGGACGAGAGUCUGAACCAGCCAAGUAGCGUGAAGGAUGACUGCCCUAUGGGUUGUAAACUUCUUUUAUAUGGGAAUAAAAUGUUCCACGUGUGGGAUUUUGUAUGUACCAUAUGAAUAAGGAUCGGCUAACUCCGUGCCAGCAGCCGCGGUAAUACGGAGGAUCCGAGCGUUAUCCGGAUUUAUUUGGUUUAAAGGGAGCGUAGGUGGAUUGUUAAGUCAGUUGUGAAAGUUUGCGGCUCAACCGUAAAAUUGCAGUUGAAACUGGCAGUCUUGAGUACAGUAGAGGUGGGCGGAAUUCGUGGUGUAGCGGUGAAAUGCUUAGAUAGCACGAAGAACUCCGAUUGCGAAGGCAGCUCACUGGACUGCAACUGACACUGAGGCUCGAAAGUGUGGGUAUCAAACAGGAGUAGAUACCCUAGUAGUC